rnacentral:rRNA from 1 species
AACGAACGCUGGCGGCAGGCCUAACACAUGCAAGUCGAGCGCGCCCUUCGGGGUGAGCGGCGGACGGGUGAGUAACGCGUGGGAACGUGCCCUUUUCUACGGAAUAGCCUCGGGAAACUGAGAGUAAUACCGUAUACGCCCUUUGGGGGAAAGAUUUAUCGGAAAAGGAUCGGCCCGCGUUGGAUUAGGUAGUUGGUGGGGUAAUGGCCUACCAAGCCGACGAUCCAUAGCUGGUUUGACAGGAUGAUCAGCCACACUGGGACUGAGACACGGCCCAGACUCCUACGGGAGGCAGCAGUGGGGAAUCUUAGACAAUGGGGGCAACCCUGAUCGAGCCAUGCCGCGUGAGUGAUGAAGGCCUUAGGGUUGUAAAGCUCUUUCAGCUGGGAAGAUAAUGACGGUACCAGCAGAAGAAGCCCCGGCUAACUCCGUG